UACGGGAGGCAGCAGUGGGGAAUAUUGCACAAUGGGCGCAAGCCUGAUGCAGCCAUGCCGCGUGUAUGAAGAAGGCCUUCGGGUUGUAAAGUACUUUCAGUCGUGAGGAAGGUGUUAAGGUUAAUAACCUUGGCAAUUGACGUUAGCGACAGAAGAAGCACCGGCUAACUCCGUGCCAGCAGCCGCGGUAAUACGGAGGGUGCGAGCGUUAAUCGGAAUUACUGGGCGUAAAGGGCACGCAGGCGGUUAAUUAAGUUGGAUGUGAAAUCCCCGGGCUUAACCUGGGAAUGGCAUUCAAGACUGGUUAGCUAGAGUCUUGUAGAGGGGGUAGAAUUCCAUGUGUAGCGGUGAAAUGCGUAGAGAUGUGGAGGAAUACCGGUGGCGAAGGCGGCCCCUGGACAAAGGCUGACGCUCAUGUGCGAAAGCGUGGGGAGCAAACG
rnacentral:rRNA from 1 species